UCCUCAGCAGCAGUUGCCACCCGCAGCAAUGUUGCUCAAGCUAACAUGGUUGCACCUUUCACAGGUCUUAAGUCUGCUGCCUCAUUCCCUGUUUCAAGAAAGCAAAACCUUGACAUCACUUCCAUUGCCAGCAACGGCGGAAGAGUGCAAUGCAUGCAGGUAAACUGACAAUUUUGAUACAAUUAACGUAUCUUAACAUGUCAUGGCUAAAAUUUCUAUUUGGUGGAGUACAGGUGUGGCCACCAAUUAACAUGAAGAAGUAUGAGACUCUCUCAUACCUUCCCGAUUUGAGCCAGGAGCAAUUGCUCUCCGAAAUUGAGUACCUUUUGAAAAAUGGAUGGGUUCCUUGCUUGGAAUUCGAGACUGAGGUCAAUAUCUGUUUUAAAUGUUGCACGCUCCCUCUAUUUUAUGCCAUAUCUAUUUGUUCCAAAAAAAUUGAACUUUAAACUUUAAUGUGUUAUUUCGUAUGUGCAGAAAGGAUUUGUCUACCGUGAACACCACAAGUCACCAGGAUACUAUGAUGGCAGGUUAGUAGCAGAUCCACAAUUAUUUAGUUAAAUUAUGGAUAUAUGCGUGUAAAUCUUGAAAAAUAAUCAGAACAAAAUCUUAAAAUAUAAAUGUUGUGAUACAGAUACUGGACCAUGUGGAAGCUACCUAUGUUCGGAUGCACUGAUGCCACCCAAGUGUUGGCUGAGGUGGGAGAGGCGAAGAAGGAAUACCCACAGGCCUGGGUCCGUAUCAUUGGAUUUGACAACGUGCGUCAAGUGCAGUGCAUCAGUUUCAUUGCCUCCAAGCCUGACGGCUACUGAGUUUCAUAUUAGGACAACUUACCCUAUUGUCUGUCUUUAGGGGCAGUUUGUUUGAAAUGUUACUUAGCUUCUUUUUUUUCCUUCCCAUAAAAACUGUUUAUGUUCCUUCUUUUUAUUCGGUGUAUGUUUUUGGAUUCCUACCAAGUUAUGAGACCUAAUAAUUAUGAUUUUGUGCUUUGUUUGUAAAUUUUGUUGUUUCACAUUAUUGUGGCGUAUAAG
rnacentral:lncRNA from 1 species